GGGUAGGUGGAGUGUGAGGGAUUAAAAGGGUGUGAUUAAAUAAAUCCUUCAGUGUUGGUCGUCCUGUUAUUUAAAAUACUGGCUCCGUGUCUUGCAAUAUCGUAUCUAACAAUUAAAUUAAAUCCGUAGAUUUAAUUUGCUCGUUGUUCUAAUACAUAAAUUAAAUCCGUAGAUUUAAUUAGCCCCAGAGUCGGAAAUAAUUCACGACUAAGU
rnacentral:lncRNA from 1 species